UUGGGGUGUGAGGUAGGGGUGUCUGCAUGUCCAGAGGUGUCCCCAGGACACGCAGGGUAGCUCCAGGACUGAUGUGAGGCCCCAUAUACAAUGUGCAUGUGUCCCUGAGCUUGUCCUUCUCCUCAUUCCUUCAUCUCACCGCUGUUAGCAUCACAAUCUCUGAGUGCCAAGGCCCAGGUAGAGGCCCCCAGUGCCCAACAUGGGUACAAGGGAUGAGGGUUACCCGUGUAGGAGAACAUACUUCUCCUUCUUGGGGUCUCCACCCUGUUCAUCCAUCCCAGCUGUGUCCCCCGGGGGUGGAGAAGGUGGGGAGGGCUGCGGCCGUGGCUGGAGCUGGGUGCAGAGCGGGGCUCCCUGCUCAGCUGCCCUGUCUGCCUGCCCCUGCCAGGCUGCAGUACGAGGACGAGGUGCUGAGGAAGACGACGCCGGCAGCACCCAGGCCUCCAGCACAGGGCUGUGACCUCCCUUUCCCUUCGGAGAGGCUGCAGCAGAGGCCGAGCAGGAGGCGAGGAGCCACCUCUGGGCAUCUCCCAGCGUCAGGGCAGCACCGUCUGCCCCAGGAGCCGUCCUCAGAACAGCAGCGGGGCGACAGCGGCGUCCCCAGCACUUCUUCCACCCCGGCCAUCACCUUCCUCAUCCAGGAGGUAAGGCAGGGGCUGGGGGGGGAGAGGCAGAGCUGCCGGGGAGG
rnacentral:lncRNA from 1 species